CUUACGAAGUUUGUAAACCACAUCCCCAUAAAAAACGGGUUUAGAAAUACCUUCUCGCAGAAGUGUCUUUAAAUUACUAUUGAAUUUUAAAACUAAAUCGGAAUUACGAUAGUAAAAUUUAGCAAAAUAUUUACGCAAUUUGUAAUAACGGUAGCCUUGCUGAAGAAGUUUACUUGUAAUAUAUAGAUUAUGUUCAUUGAAAUGCUUGACAUGACUACACGCUCUGGCAAACCGAAUUAAUUGAGAAAUAUAUACCCCAUAAGAUGUAACCUGAGGUACAUCCCCAUCCAAAUGGGGAAAAUUUACAAUACUAAAGUUAAAAUCAUCCCUCUUGUCAUAAAUUUUGGUAUGUAUAAUAUUGUCAUAAAUAGAGAGAUGUAAAUCUAAAAACGAAGCAUCAGUAUCCGAAUUGUUAGUUUUAAUUAACUGAAGCUCCCUAGGAUAAAUAGUACUCACCAAUUGACCAAAUAACGGAUUAUCCAUAUUAAGAAUAUCAUCCAGAUAGCGUGAUGUAUUAUUAAAUGCAGUUAUAAUAUUUGCCUGCGUAUCUGGAGAAAGGCUCAACAUAAAGUCUCUUUCAUAACAAUAUAAAAACAAAUCUGCGACAAGGGGUGCACAAUUUGUUCCCAUGGGAAUACCAACUACUUGUCUAAAAACUGCAUUCCCAAACCUGAUGUAAAUGUUGUUCAAUAAAAAGGAAAGGGCUUUACAAACUUCGUCACAGGAAAGCCUCUUGUGUCCCAUGUCUUUUAGUUACAUUCCAGUGGUGGUCUAAUCUUUUUUUGAAUGUUUCAACUGUCUGAGCACUUACAACCCUUUCGGGCAAUCCAUUUUAUGCAUUUACUAUUCUGAUGGAGAAAAACAAUUUCCGAGGAAGGAGUCCUUUCUUAAGAGUUGGUUUAUAGAGCUUGAGUGAAUGUCCUCUGGUAGAUGAAAUAUCUGAUAACUUGAAAAACUUGUCAGGAUAAGAAUUGUAUUUACCAGUCAAAAACUUAUAGGUUUCAAUCAAAUCACCUCUUAAACGCCCCCAUACGAAAAAGAAAUUAAAUAAAAGGUCAAUAAAAGGCAAACAAAGGGCUAGCAAAAGGUACUUCUAUGUUUUGUUAAAACCUUUUAUAAGCCUUUCAUUUAACAAAAUACUAACAAAAGACUAUUAAGGAUUUUGUGAGUAAUACAUUUUGUUUACCUUUUGUUUCAGAUACUGCCUUUUAUUAAUGUUUCAAUACCCUUAUAAUUUGAAAUUUACCUUUUAUUAGCAUUGGAUUGGACUUAUAAUAUUCUUAAAUGUUGCCAUUUGUUUGUAUUUCAUUCCACUUAGAAUCAACACUUACAUAUUUUGUUUGUAUUUCAUUACACUUGCUUUCAAAAACAAGAAGUUUUGUUCAUAUUUCAAUACAUUUGUAGGUUUGGACGACUUGUUUCACAAAAUCUAGCAUAAACAAAUUAGUUUCAUAUUUCAUUGAUAUUGGCUAAAUACUGCUGCUGCUGUUUUGAAUUCAGAGCUACAUCUACCAUUCACUAUGUUCUUCAUCUACAUAAUUACACUUCUGACGAUUGCAAAGGUUUGUCAGUAAGUAAAUGGCUACUGAGCACUUGCAAAUGCAUAAUAUUCUUUAUCAUACAUAAUCAGCUUUAAGAGAGACAAUCUAUAAACAGAGACCACUUAAAAUAAUAAUUAAAACUUCUCCUGAAAAAACAAUUCCAAUGUUUUUCCCAUUCCAUAGAAUUCCUUAGAAUUUUUUAAGAUAAUGCAAAGUUUUCCUAGUAAGAUUUUUUUUAUUUAAAUUGCAGCAAAGAUUACAUUGAAAAUCUUAAGAUUUGUUUGGAUUAUACUAGGUAUCCAAAUUAAUUGAAAUGAAACAAGGAAUCCAACUAAUUAAAAUUUAUGUCAAUGUUUUCAUUUUGUAUAUAAAAAGGAUGUUAAUUAGAAUUCUAUCAUUUUAUUUAUAAUUAAUAUAACAAGAUAUAUCAUUGAAAAUAGGUCCUAUUUAUAAAUUAUAUAAGCUAUUUAUUUUUUGGUUAUUGAACACCUCAAACAACAGCACCAGAUAAUAGGCAUUAAAAGUCAUUUCGUAAGUACAACAAACUGUAAAUGAUAUUAUGCUUUUGAUAUAAUGUUACAUCCUCAUAAAUGAAUUAGUCUAUUCUUUUGAUGAUUGGCAAUGAUUAAUUAUCCUGCUUUUACAGCCACUUGAUAUACUGCUGUUCAAUGUAUACACAUGUGUUAACACACAGAGAUACAGCUUAUCUGAUCAAGAUAAGGACCAAUGAAAAUACAGGCUUCUGAACCGUUUUACACCUGUACACCAAAAAAUAAUCCCCAUCUUCCUGCUUGUUUUUUUCUCUCUGAGAUCUUUGCAAAUGCUGUGAGCAAAUAGAUGGUCAAUUUUUCCCAUGAACUGUAUACUUAUAUAUUUUAAGAACAUAGAUAUUCCCUUCAGUAACUAUAUAUUGUACCAAAGAAAAUGGCUCAUGAAUACAAAAAUUUGAAUGUAAACAGGAAGUUCGUUGUUCAUGUUGUUGGAGGCAAAUGGAAUAAAGCUAACUUGAAACUCUAAAAUGCUUUUAGAGAGAUAUCAGAUGAAAGAGUGUGCAUAUAUCUAGUUAUUAGAGGUAUAUGCCUAUAUGUAUGAAUUGAUGUAGUUGGAGAAAUCAGAUCGCUUCAGUGCAUGACUAUGCUACAGGAUGAUACAAGAUCACAGACAGAAAUUCGAUCAAGGAUCAAACAUAAAUUACAUAAUACAUGUACUUCAACUAAAUUAAAUGCAUGGCUGGAAUGAAGUUCCUGACCCUGGUGUUGAUUUUGGAAAAGCAAAGAGACAUUCUGAUGCCACCUUGUAUUGAGCCUGCAAUACUCCAAAAUGAUUUUGUUGUGUUCAUAAUUUUCUAUCAAAUAAUCUUUUAGUUUAAUUUUCAAAUUUAAGCUAAGUGAAUUUUUAUUAUUCUUAACCACAAGUGUAAAAGCCGCUGGCAGAUGUGUUAUUCCCCUUUGAAUUGUAUUCUUUUUGUUUUUUAUGAAACCCAGAUCUGUCUCAACAUUAGAUUAAAAUAAUUUUGUAAUGAUACUAUUUCUUCUUUUUUUGUUUUGUGUCAACAAUGUUUUCCAAUGGUUUUCCAUCAAACCUUUCCAAACUUUUGCAAAGAAUUCUGCUAAAAAAUUCCUUCAACUUUAAUGCGAUGAUUUCCAAUGUUCAAAGAGUUCCAUGGACUUUCAACUGCAUUUUCACAGGGCUGCUCCCAUGGGUAUGUGAGUUUAAAUUUAAAUUAAUUUUCAGACUUUUUUUUCAUGCCGUUUUUCCAAACUUUUCCAUGGAACAUGUACAGACGGGUGCUUUUGUGACAUAAACACUUUCUAGUUUUAGUAUAUGUUUGGGAUCAUGCAAGAUAUCUGGACAGUUUUUUUAAAAUUCAAAAUCAAGAAUUUAUUUAAUUCGGCAAAACAAACAUUUUGGUUAUCUUACAGUAUUUGUUCAUUGCUGUGAAAUUGAUAAUUGCAUGCAUUUAAAUAACUUUUUACAUUAUUCUUUUGAUCAUAAAUAUAUGUAUACAAAUGUAUAUAUUGAUUUGUCAAUAGUGUUUGAUUAAUGUGUUCUUACGAAAACUUAAAUAAAAGGCAAUUGAUGAUAUACCUUUUAUUUAUGUUUUGAUAAAAGGUCUCUCUGCCUUUUAUUCGUAUUUUGUUUCCUAUAUUUUAUUUGCAAUUUGUUUCUCAUAUGUAAUGAAUGUGAAUGCCUUUUGUUAGUAUUUUGUUACUACCUUUUAUUCAUGUUUCUUUGAAACAAAAUAUUAAUAAAAGGUCUCUCUGCCUUUUAUUCAUAUUUUGUUUCCUAUAUUUUAUUUGCAAUUUGUUUCUCAUGUAAUGAAUGUGAAUGCCUUUUGUUAGUAUUUUGUUACUACCUUUUAUUCAUGUUUUAUUUGCCUUUUGUUAUCUCAUUUGCAUAUCAUU